GCAUUUUUCACUUAUUGAGUUCUGUAAGCUAUAUGUGUUUGGAAUGGCUGUGUCUAUUAAAAUUUAACAUUGUGAAAUAGACAAGUGAAAAAAUCCAUAGAUGUUUCAUCUUCAGAGAGAACUGCAACUGGGAGAUGUUCAAGGACAGCUAUAUCUGAAGUUCAUUGUUUCUUAGAAGGCUGGGCACUUCACAC